AUACGAAGGGGGCUAGCGUUGUUCGGAAUCACUAGGCGUAAAGCGCGCGUAGGUGGAUCAAUUAGUUGAGGGUGAAAUCCCGGGGCUCAACCUCGGAACUGCCUUCAAUACUGUUGAUCUUGAGACCGAGAGAGGUGAGUGGAAUUCCUAGUGUAGAGGUGAAAUUCGUAGAUAUUAGGAAGAACACCAGUGGCGAAGGCGGCUCACUGGCUCGGUACUGACGCUGAGGUGCGAAAGCGUGGGGAGCAAACAGGAUUAGAAACCCGAGUAGUCC
rnacentral:rRNA from 1 species